rnacentral:rRNA from 1 species
UACGGAGGGUGCGAGCGUUGUCCGGAAUCAUUGGGCGUAAAGGGCGCGUAGGUGGCCCGGUCAGUUCGUGGUGAAAGCGCGGGGCUCAACCCUGCGUCGGCCAUGAAUACUGCCGCGGCUGGAGCACUGUAGAGGCAGGCGGAAUUCCGGGUGUAGCGGUGAAAUGCGCAGAUAUCAGGAGGAACACCGGUGGCGAAGGCGGGUCUCUGGGCCGAUACUGACGCUGAGGAACGAAAGCGUGGGGAGCGAACAGG